rnacentral:rRNA from 1 species
GAUGAACGCUGGCGGCGUGCCUAAUACAUGCAAGUCGAGCGAACAGACGAGGAGCUUGCUCCUCUGACGUUAGCGGCGGACGGGUGAGUAACACGUGGAUAACCUACCUAUAAGACUGGGAUAACUUCGGGAAACCUGAGCUAAUACCGGAUAAUAUAUUGAACCUCAUGGUUCAAUAGUGAAAGACGGUUUUGCUGUCACUUAUAGAUGUAUCCGCGCCGCAUUAGCUAGUUGGUAAGGUAACGGCUUACCAAGGCGACGAUGCGUAGCCGACCUGAGAGGGUGAUCGGCCACACUGGAACUGAGACACGGUCCAGACUCCUACGGGAGGCAGCAGUAGGGAAUCUUCCGCAAUGGGCGAAAGCCUGACGGAGCAACGCCGCGUGAGUGAUGAAGGUCUUCGGAUCGUAAAACUCUGUUAUUAGGGAAGAACAAAUGUGUAAGUAACUAUGCACGUCUUGACGGUACCUAAUCAGAAAGCCACGGCUAACUACGUG